CAGUAGCCACGGGAAUACGGAGGGAGCUAGCGUUGUUCGGAAUCACUGGGCGUAAAGCGCACGUAGGCGGCUAUUCAAGUCAGGGGUGAAAGCCCGGGGCUCAACCCCGGAACUGCCUUUGAAACUAGAUAGCUUGAAUCUUGGAGAGGCGAGUGGAAUUCCGAGUGUAGAGGUGAAAUUCGUAGAUAUUCGGAAGAACACCAGUGGCGAAGGCGACUCGCUGGACAAGUAUUGACGCUGAGGUGCGAAAGCGUGGGGAGCAAACAGGAUUAGAUACCCCCGUAGUCCCUGUCUCUUAUAC
rnacentral:rRNA from 1 species